CGCUCUGCGGCUGAUGUCAGCACUGCUGCUGAGCCUCUGUGAUUGCUUAGCCUCAAAGUACACGCUCUGACACGACCGGG